GACGAACGCUGGCGGCGUGCCUAAUACAUGCAAGUCGAGCGAAGUUUUUCUGGUGCUUGCACUAGAAAAACUUAGCGGCGAACGGGUGAGUAACACGUAAAGAACCUGCCUCAUAGACGGGGACAACUAUUGGAAGCGAUAGCUAAUACCGGAUAACAGCAUAAAUCGCAUGAUAUAUGUUUAAAAGUUGGUUUCGGCUAACACUAUGAGAUGGCUUUGCGGUGCAUUAGCUAGUUGGUGGGGUAAAGGCCUACCAAGGCGACGAUGCAUAGCCGACCUGAGAGGGUGAUCGGCCACACUGGGGCUGAGACACGGCCCAGACUCCUACGGGAGGCAGCAGUAGGGAAUCUUCCGCAAUGGGCGAAAGCCUGACGGAGCAACGCCGCGUGAGUGAAGAAGGAUUUCGGUUCGUAAAGCUCUGUUGUUAGGGAAGAAUGAUUGUAUAGUAACUAUAUACAGUAGAGACGGUACCUAACCAGAAAGCCACGGCUAACUACGUGCCAGCAGCCGCGGUAAUACGUAGGUGGCAAGCGUUGUCCGGAAUUAUUGGGCGUAAAGCGCGCGCAGGUGGUUUAAUAAGUCUGAUGUGAAAGCCCACGGCUCAACCGUGGAGGGUCAUUGGAAACUGUUAAACUUGAGUGCAGGAGAGAAAAGUGGAAUUCCUAGUGUAGCGGUGAAAUGCGUAGAGAUUAGGAGGAACACCAGUGGCGAAGGCGGCUUUUUGGCCUGUAACUGACACUGAGGCGCGAAAGCGUGGGGAGCAAACAGG
rnacentral:rRNA from 1 species